CAGAUCAACUGUUCUGUUUUUAUUUUGCCUCGAGUUUCUCACGAAACGAAGGGGUUUUCUUUUGAUGUAUUUAGCUUCACGGCUUCUGAGCACUCGCUAAUUCCAUCUGUCCACAACACAGAAGAAGAAAUAGCGAGAGAAAGCAUUUCCAUAUGUGCAAAUUAUCACCAAGCCUCCCAUAAGCUGCAAAGAGCUCCUCUGAAGCAGAGACAGAGAACAGCUGCCAACACACUAAUGGCAUUAAAAAGGCGAAUCCAAGGCGAGUGCAGCCAGUUGCCUGGUGACCUGACCCAGCUAGAUCUGUCUGAAUCAGAAGGAAAAUUAAACGACUGAAGGGGGAAGAUUAUGAAGCUGCUGUUUGCUGUUCUAGACCACAGAGUGAACUGCGGCAGUAAUAUAAUCAAACUGUUGCCAUCAAGAACUAGAAGCACAGAGAUGCUGACAGACCCACUGAGUUCUCCAGCACUUAGUUGAAAGAUGGAGGUUUACAGGGAAUUUGAGGAAAAGAUUAUUUACCCAAUCUCCACCACCCACUGUACUUUGCUAUAGUUAACUGCAGCUACUGAAUCUACUUAGAAUACCUAAUGUAUGGAAGCAGGCCAUUCGGUCCAUCGUGACCACACUGACCCUCCGAAGGGCAUCCCACCCAGACC